rnacentral:snRNA from 1 species
GUGCUCACUUCGGCAGCACAUAUGCUAAAACUGGAAUGACACGGAGAAGACUAGCAUGGUCCUUCCACAAGGACGACAUGCAAAUUCGUGAAGCAUUCCUCAUUUUU